GGUUAUAGAGAGUUAAUGUUCUUCAUUGGUGUUCAAGUGUUCGCCUGCAAACCAAAAGGUUGGGAAGAGACUUGACCGUCCACAGCCCUAGCACUGAAAUGCAUCGUUUAAAAAACAGAAGUUGUCAAUCAGUUCUAAUUAAUACUACUAUAGAGCUACUGAUCAAGGCUGAGACUGUGUAUAUAUAGACACACUUGGAAUAUCACUGAAGAAGGCACCAAAUGUUUUAACCUUGGUUUACAGUCUGAAUGCCACUUGCAGGAUGAUACCUCUGUUAGUAGUCUAACUUGAAUUUUCAUCCCAGCAUUUUGCAUGUAACUUUUAUUUUGUACUCCCUCAUAGUAAGGAUUUUCAACUUGUUCCUUCUGCAGAUCAAGGUUCCACAUAGAACCUACAUUUCCUUAGGCCUGCAUUUUUUUUUCCUGAAAUGUUGCAUUGUGAAAAUUCAGGUUAAAAAAAAAUCCAAGCAUAUUAAGCAUGCUUAAUUUGUCUACCUUAAAAAUGUUAUCCUUAAAUGAAUGAAAAACUUGGAAAGGCAAAAGUUUCUAUCUGGAAUACCAGAUCUCUCAGGCACUGCUGAACAGCUGUUGUGAGACACCAAGGGGCCUAUGGUACCAUACAGUGACCUAUGAGAAGGGAAAAAAUGUGAAUAAAAAUGAAUAUAAACAUUAAUGCUGAUGAGUAGAAUUAAGGCUUGUUUGCAGACCAUGUGGAAAUAUUAUUUUUAAGUCUAUAAAAUAACUUGCAUAUAUAUGUAAAUGGACCAUUGUCAGUGCAGAAGGGAAUGUGGAGAGUUGUGUGAAGAAGUAUUAAGAAUUGUACAAAACUGAUCACUGAGCAAAUAAAAAGAUGCCAUAAAUAAGUAGUUAAGCUAAACAUUUCAAAGUAUACUUAUUGAGCUAAACAAAGAAGCUAAAUAAAAGCUGUUACUAACCAGGAAUUCAUUAGCUGGAAAUAAUAAUAUGAUGUAGUACUCUCCUUAAAGGAGAGUAGAUAUGUUAAUCUAAUGUGAACAAACCCAAAAGGCUGCUAAAUGUUAGCAGACUGUCUCUGAUAUUAAUAAUGCUGAAAGAGGAAAGUAUAUGAAUUGAUAUUUCAACUGAAAGCUAUGCAUCCAUAGAGAUUUGUAGCCUCUAGAAAAAGCUGUCUUGAAGAUUCCUUAUCUUAUAAGUGCAGACUCUGAAAGAGUAAUUCUAAAUCCUAAAUACCUCAAUCAUAUUUUUAACUGCUGAAAACUGACAUGGCUCUGUUAUCACUGAGGUUUUUCACUUAAAACAACCAAGAAUUUUAGAUUUCAGUUUGCAAUAACCUUUAGCACAUCUGUUUUAUUGUGCUUUAGGGAAUAAAGGCCUUUAUUUACACUUACAGGCUAUAACCAGGAGAAUGAAUGGAAUAACAGAGUGCUUUACUUGUUCAUUUUUCCUAGUCUUUUUCCAUGAAAUAGCUCAUCUAUAGAGAUGCAGAAAGCAGUGCAAAGUACUUAUUUUUUUCCUAUAAGUUAGACACACGAUGUUUUGGCAACAGUUUAAAUCAGUUUUCAGAGAUGGUGAGGAAUGAUUAUGUUCAAAGUACUACAAAUUAUUGUGAAUUUCAGUGAAUGAUGAACAAUACGGUACACUUGGUGGAAAAAGAUCAUUGUAUUUUUUGGUAAAAAUGCUUUUUUUUUUUUUUUUUUGAAAUAAAAUGGUUGUGCAAACCAGUAGGAGUAACUUGAAGUUUAUUGCCAAGUUUCUCUGGGAUUAUACCUUUAAACCUAUAUGUCUUCUAAGCUCUUAUAACAUCAUGCAUUUUCAUUUGAAUUAUUGGAAGAGUUUAACUUUACAGAAUAUAAACCUUUCAAACUUUUUUUCUGAAGUGAUAUCCCAUUUCUUGUCUUUGAACUGUAUUUUAGGAAAGUGUAUUGUUAAAAGAUGUGCACUUAAAAUGUGGUCGUAUUCCUUCUAAGCUUCCCAACGUUUGCUCUGUCUACAACUGCAAUAAGGAAUUGCUGAAAAUAAAUAUUAAAAUGAUCUUGUAUAGUAAAUAUCCAUUAUUUUGAACACAUCCUGUUAUAUUUGAUCUAAAUCCUGAUCUCUGUGGGAGAGGCAGAAGAGGUAAGAAUACUGGGUGGUAUGAGGCCAAGCAAAAACGGACUAUGUUGUUCUAAAAAGUAAACAGAUAUUUGAAUUGUUAUACCACAGGUUCUAGGAUGACCCACUAAUAUUCAUAUGAAAAAAAAAUGAAUUUUAGAGAAAUAUCUGUUCUGUAACCUGAUGUGUAGAUGUUUUUUCAUGUCACCAUUCUUUUACCUAAUGUAUAUUUUGCCAGUUGAGAAAAUGGAACCCAGGGGAAGAUCCAGAUCCCUCUGGUUCUGUUUCUUGGUUUUGUGUAUAAUUGCAUUAAUCAGCUCUGAUUACUGGAAAAAGUACUUGUCAUAUCUGCGUUUAUUGUUCUGCAGGGAGAACUGUUAAAAAUCCACAUGAUAUUUCCACAUUGUCAUUAUUAGGAACAGACAUUAUUUAUUGUCAUUAAUGCUAACUGUAGGCAGAAGUUCUGCAUGAAGUCUGUGAUUUUACAGAACUCUCUUUUAGGAGGUUUACAGAAAUAUUGAAAAUCAAUACUUCUUUUUGCUGUAACUUAAAAAUCUGUUUAACUUGCCUUUUGAGGUAUUUCAUUGUCUUGUAGCUUAGAAGAUCUUUGUGUAGAGGCAGUGACUAAUAAAAAUAAGAACUUUAACUACCUUA